rnacentral:rRNA from 1 species
GACGAACGCUGGCGGCGUGCUUAACACAUGCAAGUCGAACGGAAAGGCCUUUUCGGAGGUACUCGAGUGGCGAACGGGUGAGUAACACGUGGGUGAUCUGCUCUGCACUCUGGGAUAAGCCUGGGAAACUGGGUCUAAUACCGGAUAGGACCGCACUUUAGUGUGUGUGGUGGAAAGUUUUUUCGGUGUAGGAUGAGCCCGCGGCCUAUCAGCUUGUUGGUGGGGUAAUGGCCUACCAAGGCGGCGACGGGUAGCCGGACUGAGAGGUUGGUCGGCCACAUUGGGACUGAGAUACGGCCCAGACUCCUACGGGAGGCAGCAGUGGGGAAUAUUGCACAAUGGGCGCAAGCCUGAUGCAGCGACGCCGCGUGGGGGAUGACGGCCUUCGGGUUGUAAACUCCUUUCGCCAGGGACGAAGCGUUUUGUGACGGUACCUGGAGAAGAAGCACCGGCUAACUACGUG